GAUAUAGUUCACCGUGCCCAAAAUUUGCCGGGAAGCACGGCCACACCACUCCGACAGUGAUGAAUCCUCCAAACGAAUUCCCCGACGAUUUUUCGUCUUUCCCUCCUAUUCCAUUCGCCCUCUUCGUCCCCCCUGAAAACCCUAACCCUAAUUCAACCGCAGCUCCGAGUCAGACCUCAAUCGAAGACCCUAGCUCCGCUCAUCUACUCUCAUUCACGGUCCCGAAGAAGCGGAGGCGAGGCAGGCCUCACCGACCUGCGACGUCGUUUCAGGUACCUCAAAUACUGAACGGCGGUUUCAAUAGUAACGCCCUUGCUUCUUCUUCUGGCUCAAUUUCAGCUCAUUCGAUUAGACACAAUGCGGAAAACCCUAGUUCUUCUGCAAAGGCAGGGCCGGAUAUGUCCGACGAGAUCAUUGUGAUCAGUAAGGAGUCCACGGCCGAGGCGUUGAUCGCGCUCUCGGCUGGGUUUCCUGCCGAUUCCCUCACAGAGGAGGAAAUCGAUUUCGGGGUUAUUCGGGUUAUUGGGGGAAUAGAGCAGGUCAAUUACAUUCUCAUUCGGAACCAUAUCAUUGCGAAAUGGCGAGAAAAUGUAUCCAAUUGGGUCACAAAGGAUAUUUUUGUUAACUCUAUACCCAAGCAUUGUCAUGCUCUUUUAGACUCUACUUAUAACUAUCUGGUUUCACAUGGAUACAUUAAUUUUGGGAUUGCACCGGCCGUUAAAGAGAAGAUUCCCGCGGAGCCUAGUAAGCCGAGUGUGAUUAUCAUUGGUGCUGGGCUUGCUGGUCUUGCUGCUGCCAGGCAAAUGAUGCGUUUCGGGUUUAAAGUGACUGUUUUGGAGGGUAGGAAGCGUGCAGGUGGGCGGGUGUAUACUAAGAAAAUGGAGGGAGGAAUUAGGGUAUGUCAAGCAGCGGCGGAUUUAGGUGGUAGUGUUUUGACUGGUACAUUAGGGAACCCACUUGGCAUUGUUGCUCGACAAUUGGGCUACUCGCUUCAUAAGAUUAGAGACAAGUGCCCACUUUAUAAUGUGGAGGGGAAACCGGUAGAUCAUGAUAUGGAUAUGAAGGUGGAAAGUGUUUUUAACCAUCUUUUAGAUAAGGCAAGUAGGCUUAGGCAGUUAAUGGGUGGGGUUUCGGUUGAUGUGUCUCUUGGUUCGGCAUUGGAAACAUUCUGGCAUGUUUCUGGGAAUGCUGUGAAUGCUGAGGAGAUGAACUUGUUCAAUUGGCAUCUUGCGAAUUUGGAAUACGCAAAUGCAGGUUUACUGUCGAAACUUUCGCUUGCAUUUUGGGACCAAGAUGAUCCAUAUGAUAUGGGAGGGGACCAUUGCUUCUUACCUGGUGGUAAUGGAAGGCUGGUGCAGGCUUUGGCAGAGAAUGUGCCGAUCCUAUAUGAGAAAACUGUUCACACCAUAAGGUAUGGUAGUGACGGGGUACAGAUUCUUGCUGGAAGCCAGGUUUUUGAGGGUGAUAUGGUUUUGUGCACUGUUCCGCUUGGUGUUUUGAAGAGUGGGUCCAUCAAGUUUAUUCCUGAGUUGCCUCAGCGAAAGCUUGAUGGAAUUAAGAGGUUGGGGUUUGGUUUGUUGAAUAAGGUUGCAAUGCUUUUUCCUCAUGUGUUUUGGGGCACAGAUCUUGAUACAUUCGGCCAUCUGUCUGAUGAUUCAAGCCGUCGAGGGGAAUUCUUCCUGUUUUACAGCUAUGCAACAGUUGCUGGUGGUCCUCUCUUGCUUGCUUUAGUAGCAGGUGAAGCUGCACAUAAGUUUGAGAGCAUGCCCCCUACGGAUGCUGUGACCCGGGUUCUUCAGAUUCUUAAGGGUAUUUAUGAACCACAAGGAAUUAGUGUCCCAGAGCCCAUCCAAACGGUCUGUACCAGAUGGGGAAGUGACCCCUUCAGCCUCGGUUCUUACUCUAAUGUUGCAGUUGGGGCAUCAGGAGAUGAUUAUGAUAUCUUAGCAGAAAGUGUUGGGGAUGGGCGACUUUUCUUUGCCGGUGAGGCUACCAAUAGGAGAUAUCCUGCAACUAUGCACGGAGCUUUCCUUAGUGGGCUCAGAGAAGCUGCAAAUAUGGCCAACUAUGCUAAUGCUCGAGCUCUAAGGAUAAAGCUUAACAGGAACCCAUCAAAGAAUGCCCAUUCUUGUGCUUCCCUUCUUGCAGAUUUAUUCAGAGAGCCUGAUUUAGAAUUUGGGAGUUUUUCUGUUAUUUUUGGUCGAAGAAAUGCUGAUCCCAAGUCGACAGCAAUUUUAAGGGUGACAUUUAAUGACCCUCGGAAGAAGAGUCAUGACGGUUCAAGACCUGAUCAACAGUACUCAAAUAAGUUACUUUUUCAGCAGCUUCAGUCACAUUUUAAUCAGCAGCAGCAGCUUCAUGUUUACACUUUGUUAUCUAGGCAGCAGGCUCUUGAGCUCCGAGAAGUACGAGGUGGUGAUGAGAUGAGGUUGAAUUACCUCUGUGAAAAGCUUGGAGUGAAGCUUGUGGGGAGAAAGGGUUUGGGGCCUUCAGCUGAUUCUGUAAUUGCCUUAAUAAAAGCUGAGAGGGGCAAUCGUAAACCUGCUUCAACUUUAUCAUCUUUGAAGUCUGGUACAUCGAAGCUGAAACCUGGCACUUUGAAACGAAAAUUGGUCAGAAGGGCUAAAAUAAUGCGCAACAUUAAUGUGUCUCCCCUUUCUGCUAAUUCAAACUUGGCUAUUGGUAAACUCCCAGAGGAAAAUAAGAACAGUGUUCAAGUAGUCUCCAACACACUCGGUUCAGGCCAAAACGAUUCUGAGGUGUUGAAGCAAUGAAUAGUGCCUGCUGUGGAUGCUGAACACAAGUACUGGAAAUGAGAACCUUAAGCUGUAUGAAACAUGCAAAUUAAAUCUAUACCCAGGCCAACAAAUUGGGGAGCAGUGUCUUCCUUUUUUAGCCAUGAGAUUUAUUCUUGGCUGGUUGAGCCCAAGGGAGUUGGCCCUUUUGGGGCAUGCUUUGCCCAAUUGAUGGGACUGUUCCUCUUGACCUUUGACUCUGUACAAACGGCCUCCACGAAUUUUCUGCUGCCAGCCUUGUUAGAGCUAGUUUGUGCUGAGUCACACCUCCCUUCUCAGUUCUGAAGAAAUUUGUCCGACUUGUUGGCUUCUACACUGGUCAAGGACCAAUGGAAACCAAAUAAGUGCAUUGAGCAAGAGCAACUGCGUUCCCUGCCAUCUUUCAAGAUCCCCAUCAUCGAAUUGAAAGGAGAUGAUGAUCCCGGUAAACAUGUUUGGCUAGGAUGAGGACAACUUCAGGUGAAACUCAUGAACAGUCCAUGACACUGUUGCCAAGUGGCUUGUAGAAGUGGGUGCUGCCCAUUGCCGAGUAGUCUAUCAAUGCAUGAGAUCCCAAUGUUCACUGAUAGAAUGAUAGCGUAGCUGGGAUCCUUUUUCCAAGUGUACGACUUGUGCAAUUAGAGGUGGAGCUAAUGUGUUCAGUGAGGUCCCAGUGUUCACUGAUUGUAGCUGUUGAUCUUUUACUACUAAAUUACAAAAACUAUAAAAGUGAACAUGAUUGUAAUUUUACUUAUACCUUUAUGAUCAGAUUUUAUAGUUAUAUCACCAAUG